UACGGAGGGGGCAAGCGUUAUCCGGAUUCACUGGGUUUAAAGGGUGCGUAGGAGGGCAGGUAAGUCAGUGGUGAAAUCUCCGAGCUUAACUUGGAAACUGCCGUUGAUACUAUCUGUCUUGAAUAUUGUGGAGGUGAGCGGAAUAUGUCAUGUAGCGGUGAAAUGCUUAGAUAUGACAUAGAACACCAAUUGCGAAGGCAGCUCGCUACACAUAUAUUGACUCUGAGGCACGAAAGCGUGGGGAUCAAACAGG
rnacentral:rRNA from 1 species